rnacentral:rRNA from 1 species
GGUGUUUGUACGGCUACCAGGCUUUGACGGGUAGCCGGCCUGAGAGGGCGAUCGGCCACACCGGGACUGAGACACGGCCCGGACUCCUACGGGAGGCAGCAGUAGGGAAUCUUGCACAAUGGGCGAAAGCCUGAUGCAGCGAUGCCGCGUGAGGGAUGAAGGCCUUCGGGUCGUAAACCUCUUUCAGCAGGGAAGAAGCCACGGGCAACCGUGGUGACGGUACCUGCAGAAGAAGCCCCGGCUAACUACGUGCCAGCGGCCGCGGCCG